rnacentral:rRNA from 1 species
CGCGUAGGUGGUUCGUUAAGUUGGAUGUGAAAUCCCCGGGCUCAACCUGGGAACUGCAUUCAAAACUGACGAGCUAGAGUAUGGUAGAGGGUGGUGGAAUUUCCUGUGUAGAGGUGAAAUUCGUAGAUAUUCGGAGGAACACCAGUGGCGAAGGCGGCUUACUGGUCCAUUACUGACGCUGAGGUGCGAAAGCGUGGGGAGCAAACA